rnacentral:lncRNA from 1 species
AAGAAACUAAGACUAUUUCAAAUUUGGCGUCCAACCUUUUGUCACACUCUACCUAACAUCAAUGAUCUCACCUUCACCAGAGUUUUCAACUUGUUAUCUCAUGUAGUUGGUUUGUUGAAAAGGGCAGAAUUCAUACAUACACAAAAACAGAGAGGAGCAACCAUUCCAUAUCUCAUAUUUUUCAUCUUCAACAUCAAUUAAAAAGGUUAGCUAGUCCACCAUGAUCUUAGCCAAUCAUGUUUAGCUAAACAAAGUUUAUUUAACUGAAUUUUUAUGUAUGGUUUCCUGCUAUGGCUUUUCUUUAUGCUUCUUUUCUUCAGAUCCUUUGUAUUCUUGCUCCUUCUUCUUUUUUCUCCUGAUUACGUUUUAUGUAUAUUUUAUACAUCAGAUCUUGAGAACUUGAACGGAAGGGAAGGAAUUACAAUCAUGGAAAGCGAGAAAGGGAAAGCAAUCAAAUUAUCGGUAUGUCAUGAUACAAUAUUUAUUACAACUAAAGUUGACAAAAUAAAUGGAAUUUGAAGGAACCCUCUGUUGUUGAUUGUGUUAUCUUUCAAAAUUUAUACACUAAAAACUCUAAAUAUCUUUUUGAUACUAUUAGUAAAUUUUAACUUAUGAUAGCAAAUUAUAAGUUACUAAUUAGAUGCCCCUGAUUAUCAUCUUUCUUUUUGGUUCCAAUAUGUUAAUUUUUGAGGUUAUGCCUCUUUUCCUUUCCCUAAAUUGUUCCUCUAACCUUUGAAUCAUGGUAUUUAGCGGGUAACAAAGAAAUAUAGAGAUUUAAAAAGAUAAAAAGUUGCAACAUAUUGCAUGAAGAAGAGCGUUAUUGUUUUAUGAUAUUUUUAUAGAUGAAAAAUUAGUUUAAAUAUUUGUCACGUUUCUCCUUUUUAUUUAUGGACUAAUUUAUAAAAUGAUCACUUAAUAACUCACUGGUAAUUUUUUGUGACACAUACCAUA